rnacentral:rRNA from 1 species
GACGAACCGUGCGAACGUUGUUCGGAAUCACUGGGCUUAAAGGGCGCGUAGGCGGGCUGCCAAGUCUGGGGGUGAAAUCCCACGGCUCAACCGUGGAACUGCCCCGGAUACUGGCGGCCUCGAGGGGGGUAGGGGCGUGCGGAACUGUGGGUGGAGCGGUGAAAUGCGUUGAUAUCCACAGGAACUCCGGUGGCGGAAGG